rnacentral:lncRNA from 1 species
AAAAAAUCGGCGCGUUGCUGCCGAGCACGAAAAAAAAAGCAUUGGCGCACUGCCCCUUUUUGCAACUGCCAGCAUCGCCGCGCGAUGUCGGCAAUCUCCUCCGUCCCUCUUUUUUUCCGUCCCCGCAUAGACACAGCCCGGCAGUCUGGCACACGACGACAGCGACCACAACAGAGAUACCAAAAAAAAAGACCAAACCCGGUCAUGCGAUACCGCGCACCGCGGCGGCUGCUCGCCAACUUCAAAAAAAAAUAAAGGCCUUGUCUCUGUGCUCCAUCUGGCGUCUUGUCGUAACUC